CAGCAAAUUGUACCAAGUUUACUCUGCCUGUCCUUACUAUAAAACAAGGCCAGCAUUUUUCAUCCAAUUGUUAAAUAAAUUUAAGUAGUGCAAUAAAUGUUUGGUUAUUCAUGGUAAAAUUAGAAGAAAAUUGGUGUAUUUUUAAAUUCAUUUUAUUUCACCCCACGCUUUCUGUAUGUCUUGAUCAUCUGACUCUCCACUCAUUCUCCAUUUUUCUCCUUAUUUUCUCACCUCUGUAUUUUUCUUUGUACAACAGAAAUAAACAGUUGGCAACUUGACAUAAAGUUCAGACAACGAAGAUUACAGUUUCAAAUUCUAUCUUGCCGAACAUGUGGUUAACAUUUUUCCCCUGUGUGCUGUGCUUUGCGCAUAUCACUGAAUAUGUAACUCAAUAAAAGUUCAUCACACAGAUACACCACUACAUGCCACCCAUGUCUCCACUCAAGAGUAAAGCUUUAGAUACUCUCUGACAGUGUAAGCACACACUUCCCUGAGAUUCAAAGCUUGCAGGGAGUCUGGAGUGCAGUUCACCUCUUCAUAGACAUAUGAUAGUAGAAGCAAAAAGACACCUACAAUUUUGUAGGUUCUUAAACACUAAGUAAUCCAUUAACUUUAAACACAAAAACAUGCUUGAAAGGUAUGUGCAAGAAAUGUAUGGAUCUAGAUAAAAUAAAAGCGUUACCACAUUUCACUGCUUUUGUUUUAUAGCCUCUCCAGCAUUCAAGGGGGUAAGUCAGAGUCCUCUAAGGAGCCCAAGAUUCCCCCUCCUGCACAGGGUCAAUCCUCAAAAUCUUCUCUCUUCACCUCCCCUCUCCCUUACAUGACCAGUAAGAGACCUACUCUCAUAUAAUCUUUGUUAACCUUCAUCAGGUGAUUCCUUGAUUGGAGUCACAGGUGAUCAAUGUGUGCCCUCCAAGGGCAUCAGUUGAUUUAUUUCCCUCUUGAAGCUUGAAAAACAAGUUAGCUUUGUGCAGUCAACACCUCUUUGACCAACAGAGCCUCUGCACAGAAAAGCAAGUUUUGCCAAAGUUUCAGGACCCCUGUGUGUUCAUUAAUGUUAACUGGACUGCCAAUUUUGUUAAAUCUAAGCUCUGUAAGAAAACAUGCUAUCAAUGAAAUACAUGUCUGUUUAAGUGUUCACAAAUGUUAUUUUUACCAUUGUCCUUCUCCAUAAUAAUAAAUAUACAAUAGGUAAAGACAAAACACGAGCACUUAUUGCUGUGUUUGGAUAUACUUAUGCGUGUCGUACUUGAAGUUAAAGUGUUCGUGCUUAAUGAGCUUUGAUGCAACACUUUUACGAAGGUCAUAAAUGAGAUAAAGAGAUGCUUUGGAUCUAUCAAAAGCAAAUCCUGUCGGCCCCCUUGAAAUUUCGUAUAGAAACACCAACUUAAUGAGUCCCUUUGUUCAAUAACUCUCUGUUUUCCAAGAGUCCGUAUUAGUUUUUAAAACAUUUUGUAGAGUUUUUAGAUAAAUUUUACCAUGCUACCACUUUCUAGGUUUGAAAACCAUCAGUUCUAUUGCUCUCAUAUAAACAACUGUACACCAUUGGGUUGACAAUUUCCUUAUUGGCUCUAGUUGGAUUUUUCAAGAGUCUAAAUUAGGUGACUUUUGGUGGAAGUCAGGUAUCCAGCCCCCUUAGGGUCAUUUGAAAAUCCUAGCUUCUGACAGUGUCCUAUCCGGAAAAUAGGAAUUAUCCAGGGGAGGACAGCAAUAAUGGAUAUUUAGUUAAGAGACGUCUAAAUGUUAAUCACCCCCAGUUUAAAGAUCAUGAUUUCCUGUAAUCUAGAGGGGAGGGAGAGUAUCAGCAAUAAAGUGUUCUUUACAACUAUACCAUUCUAUGGUCUGGCACCUCACUGAAGUCAUAAAAUACCAUAUAUGUAAUACAUGUAGGGUUGGCAGGACAUGAUUUUAGUGUACAAGUGUAAAAAUUCAGUAGUAGCUCCAGAAACUUCAAAGGGGUUUUUUUUCUUUCGUCGUUCUAGAGAAGCAGCUAAGCAAACUCCUAUUUUGAGACUAUUUUGUUCAGUGUCUUACCAUAAAUACAAAUUAGCUUACAAACAUCAAAAAAUAUUUUUCAAAAGGUUUAUAAAAGAGUGGUGUGACCUAAUCCAACUGAAGUCAGUACUUACAAUUCGCUGAGCCUUUCACUACAAAGUAUUUCAAAAUCUUUUACAAAUAUAUGUAGGAUGUAUAAGAAACAACUGUUCACCCACUACUUGGACAGAAUUGGGAUAGCAAGGAAAGUUUUGAAAAUACUUAUUUCUAAAAAGUAGCUGCUAUACAUUGAAAUGAAAAAAAAAGAUCUCUCUUUUUAAUGUUAACCUUAACAUGUUCCACAGAAGUUGUGAACAGUUUUAAACAGUGCUCUUAAUUUUUUUUAGGAACAGGAUAAGCAGGAUUCUAUUAGUUGCUUCCUUAUUAAUAAUUUGGCAAAUGGAGAAA